UGGCAUGUUAUCCUAAGGGUCUGAGCUUGUUUGUAGCUCAUGGCUCUCCAAGUGCAUGCAAGAAAAUUGGGUUGUCUGUGACUGCUGUGGCCAGUAACUGCCUUCAGUAGCCACUCAGCUGUCCUACAGAC